rnacentral:rRNA from 1 species
CCUACGGGCGGCUGCAGUGGGGAAUAUUGGACAAUGGGGGCAACCCUGAUCCAGCCAUGCCGCGUGUGUGAAGAAGGCCCUCGGGUUGUAAAGCACUUUCAGUGAGGAAGAACGCCUGGUGGUUAAUACCCAUCAGGAAAGACAUCACUCACAGAAGAAGCACCGGCUAACUCCGUGCCAGCAGCCGCGGUAAUACGGAGGGUGCGAGCGUUAAUCGGAAUUACUGGGCGUAAAGCGCGCGUAGGUGGCUUGAUAAGCCGGUUGUGAAAGCCCCGGGCUCAACCUGAGAACGGCAUCCGGAACUGUCAAGCUAGAGUGCAGGAGAGGAAGGUAGAAUUCCCGGUGUAGCGGUGAAAUGCGUAGAGAUCGGGAGGAAUACCAGUGGCGAAGGCGGCCUUCUGGACUGACACUGACACUGAGGUGCGAAAGCGUGGGUAGCAAACAGGAUUAGAUACCCUGGUAGUC